rnacentral:rRNA from 1 species
ACUCAAAUGAAUUGACGGGGACGCGCACAAGCAGUGGAGCGUGUGGUUUAAUUCGACGGUAAACGUAGAACCUUACCAGGGCUUGACAUGUAUCUGCAUACCUAUGGAAACAUGGGUAGCCUUCGAGGGUGAUACACAGAUGCUGCAUGGCUGUUGUCAGCUCGUGUCGUGAGAUGUCCGGUUAAGUCCGGUAACGAGCGCAACCCUUACCCUGUGUUAUAUUUGUCUCAGGGGACUGCCUCGCCAAAACGAGGAGGAAGGUGGGGAUGACUUCUAGUCAGCAUGGCUCUUACGUCCUGGGCUACACACGCGCUACAAUGGUUAGUACAACGAGCAGCAAUGGAGCGAUCCUGCGCUAAUCUCUUAAAGCUAACCUCAGUUCGGAUUGAAGGCUGAAAUUCGCCUUCAUGAAGUUGGAAUUGCUAGUAAUCGUGGGUCAGCAUACCACGGUGAAUACGUUCUCGCGUCUUGUACACACCGCCCGU